rnacentral:rRNA from 1 species
UACGUAGGGUGCAAGCGUUAAUCGGAAUUACUGGGCGUAAAGCGUGCGCAGGCGGUUUUGUAAGUCUGACGUGAAAUCCCCGGGCUCAACCUGGGAAUUGCGUUGGAGACUGCAAGGCUGGAGUCUGGCAGAGGGGGGUAGAAUUCCACGUGUAGCAGUGAAAUGCGUAGAGAUGUGGAGGAACACCGAUGGCGAAGGCAGCCCCCUGGGUCAAGCUGACGCUCAUGCACGAAAGCGUGGGGAGCAAACAGGA